rnacentral:lncRNA from 1 species
AUUUAUUUGGGGUUGUCUGGUAUGAGUGACAGAGCCACGCUGUAGUCACUUACUGUGGCAGUUUAUCUGUGGGUGGCAGUUUUCUGUAGUCCUUGACGGUGACGCUUCAGAACAUUUUCCUUACAAAGUCCAGCUGGCUUAUAUGGCUAGAAUAGGAAAAUCGAAUUGGUUGUUUACUGAUUUUUUUUUAAAUUCCCAUUAAAGAUUUGAUGUUAAGAAUACUUUAAAUAAACAUGAUUGAUUAAUAUAAUGGUUGGCUUAGAAUCCAUUGUGUGUCAUUGAAAGCCACUGUAUGCUAGCCUUAUCGGCUCCUGGUAUUUGUCUGUCAAGUGGGUGCCUCUUCAGCAAGCUUCUCUUGUGUCCUAACACUUCCCUGUUCAGUGAAAUCUCCUUAUGUCUGUAUGUGAG